UGGGGAAUUUUGGACGAAUUGGGGGCAACCGUGAUCCAGCAAUGCCGCGUGUGUGAAGAAGGCCUUCGGGUUGUAAAGCACUUUUGUCCGGAAAGAAAACGCCGUGGUUAAUACCCGUGGCGGAUGACGGUACCGGAAGAAUAAGCACCGGCUAACCACGUGCCAGCAGCCGCGGUAAUACGUAGGGUGCAAGCGUUAAUCGGAAUUACUGGGCGUAAAGCGUGCGCAGGCGGUCCGCUAAGACAGAUGUGAAAUCCCCGGGCUUAACCUGGGAACUGCAUUUGUGACUGGCGGGCUAGAGUAUGGCAGAGGGGGGUAGAAUUCCACGUGUAGCAGUGAAAUGCGUAGAGAUGUGGAGGAAUACCGAUGGCGAAGGCAGCCCCCUGGGCCAAUACUGACGCCUCGAUGCACGAAAGCGUGGGGAGCAAACAGGAAUUC
rnacentral:rRNA from 1 species